rnacentral:rRNA from 1 species
CCUACGGGAGGCAGCAGUGGGGAAUAUUGCACAAUGGGGGGAACCCUGAUGCAGCAACGCCGCGUGGGUGAAGAAGUACUCCGGUAUGUAAAGCCCUGUCAGCAGGGAAGAAAAUGACGGUACCUGACCAAGAAGCCCCGGCUAACUACGUGCCAGCAGCCGCGGUAAUACGUAGGGGGCAAGCGUUAUCCGGAUUUACUGGGUGUAAAGGGAGCGUAGACGGCAAGGCAAGUCUGGAGUGAAAGCCCGUGGCUCAACCACGGGACUGCUUUGGAAACUGUGUUGCUGGAGUGCAGGAGGGGUAAGCGGAAUUCCUAGUGUAGCGGUGAAAUGCGUAGAUAUUAGGAGGAACACCGGUGGCGAAGGCGGCUUACUGGACUAUAACUGACGUUGAGGCUCGAAGGCGUGGGGAGCAAACAGGAUUAGAUACCCCAGUAGUC